UCUCUGCUUGCGCAGGCAGUCUCUUUAGAGUCCCCAGCUUGACCUGUUGGCAACUAAUGAUAAGGGUUGCGCUCGUUGCGGGACUUAACCCAACACCUCACGGCACGAGCUGACGACAGCCAUGCAGCACCUGUGCAGCAGUCCCGAAGGAAAGGCCCAUUUCUGGACCGGUCUACUGCAUGUCAAGCCUGGGUAAGGUUCUUCGCGUUGCAUCGAAUUAAACCACAUGCUCCACUGCUUGUGCGGGUCCCCGUCAAUUCUUUUGAGUUUCAGCCUUGCGACUGUACUCCCCAGGCGGUAUACUUAACGCGUUAGCUACGGCACAACCAGGGUUGAGUCCGGUUACACCAAGUAUACAUCGUUUACGGCAAGGACUAC
rnacentral:misc_RNA from 1 species